UACGAAGGGGGCUAGCGUUGCUCGGAAUCACUGGGCGUAAAGCGCACGUAGGCGGAUUGUUAAGUCAGGGGUGAAAUCCCGGAGCUCAACUCCGGAACUGCCUUUGAUACUGGCGACCUUGAGGCUGGAAGAGGUUAGUGGAAUUCCCAGUGUAGAGGUGAAAUUCGUAGAUAUUGGGAAGAACACCAGUGGCGAAGGCGGCUAACUGGUCCAGAUCUGACGCUGAGGUGCGAAAGCGUGGGGAGCAAACAGG
rnacentral:rRNA from 1 species